AGGCUGCAACUCGCCUGCGUGAAGGCGGAAUCGCUAGUAAUCGCAGAUCAGAAUGCUGCGGUGAAUACGUUCCCGGGCCUUGUACACACCGCCCGUCACACCAUGGAAGCUGGUCACGCCCGAAGUCGUUAUCCUAACCGUUCGCGGAGGGAGAUGCCUAAGGCAGGGCUGGUGACUGGGGUGAAGUCGUAACAAGGUAGCCGUACCGGAAGGUGCGGCUGGAUCACCUCCUUUUAGGGAG
rnacentral:rRNA from 1 species